AUCCAGUUGAUCAGUCCUAAAUAGGACGAAAUGUACAUCAAACUGUAU
rfam:Schistosoma margrebowiei strain Zambia genome assembly, scaffold: SMRZ_scaffold0000325